GUACCCGGAUGGUGCACUGCAAACGGGCCAAAAAUGUAGUGUAAAACGAUGGACACUACUCGCACUAAGCGGCCGCCAUCUUGGAGACGUAGCGGAAGAGGAGGAGCCCUUUCGCCAGCUUUUCAUUUUAUUUCAAAAACAAUGGCGGACAGCACAAGCGGUAGACCGCGAAGCUACAGACCGUAAAUAGACGUUUCCUGGAGGUGCUGGUGCUGGUCCUCUGCUGCCCUCCCGACAUCUGGCUCCAAUGACCUCUGGCACCUCACAUCCACCUCCAGGGCCUUUAAGAAGAUGGACCGCCAUCGCGUCUUCAGUAUCCCGAAGGACCUCUCCACAACACACCUGGCCUUUGACAGGCAGCAGUUGUAGCUUGGAGGUGGACAGGCUGCCUGAAGGGGUCAUGAGGCAGAUGGGUUGGGACAGGCAGGGGGAGCCACCAUCCCCAAGGAUACAGUAUCCUGGUGGAGGAUGACUGCUCAUAGAAGAUGGGGCUGUUAUUCAGGACCCUGGCAUCAUGCACUGAGCCGGGGCCUGUCGAAGGCCCUGGCCACCACCCGAUAGGAGGUGGCGCUGGCAAGCCAAAAAAUAAAUACUAGACGGGAGAUCUCGGGGCCCCAACCGUGGUCAGUCAGUGCCCAGCACAGCCAUGAGGGCGUUGAAUGACUCUGGUGAGCCUGAAGUCCACCCUCAUGUCACUGUGGCCAUCACAAUACAACGCCAGCAGUGGCAUUGCAACAUGGAUACGGCAGCGCCGCCUGGGACUGGGUGGCUGCUGUAGAGUGUGGGGAGGGGAGGGGAAGGGAAGAUUAUAUUAAUAUGUAAGUCAUUUUAUCAAUAAAAUGUUGUCAUUGA